GAUGCUAUCAAGUAGUCCAUAAAGAUUGCUUCAGUGUUUGUAAGCCACAAAGAGCCAAAUGUCUGGAGAUAAUACAAUGAUUAGGCUGGCACAAUUGCAAGUCUCAAGGCAUCCAUAGAACUCGAGAUAAACUGCCAAAGCAUGGUUUCACCUCGCAAGACUUGUUAAGGUUUAGCUGAAUGCUGAGGAAGAUGAGGACCAUCUUUUCCUUCAGUGUCGCUGCUCUUAAAUUAUCAUGGUAAAAGCUUGUUGAACAAGAAGUUCUCUGGUAUAAGAGUCAUGCUAAAAGAAUUUAUUCUGCAUACACAUGGCAGCAAAGAAAUGCUUAGGUUUUCUCAAAUAGGAGAAGUGAUGAUGAGGAAGUGGUUUUGCAGAAGAUAUUAGAUCAGAU
rnacentral:lncRNA from 1 species